rnacentral:rRNA from 1 species
CCUACGGGAGGCAGCAGUGGGGAAUAUUGCACAAUGGGGGAAACCCUGAUGCAGCGACGCCGCGUGAGUGAAGAAGUAAUUCGUUACGUAAAGCUCUAUCAGUAGGGAAGAAACACUGACCUUACGGUCAGCAGACGGUACCUGAGUAAGAAGCCCCGGCUAACUACGGGCCAGCAGCCGCGGUAAUAUGUAGGGGGCAAGCGUUAUCCGGAUUUACGGGGUGUAAAGGGAGCGUAGACGGUGCGGCAAGUCUGGAGUGAAAGGCCGCAGCUUAACUGCGGAACUGCUUUGGAGACUGGCGGACUAGAGUGCGGGAGGGGUAAGCGGAAUUCCUAGUGUAGCGGUGAAAUGCGUAGAUAUUAGGAGGAACACCGGUGGCGAAGGCAGCUUACUGGACCGUAACUGACGUUGAGGCUCGAAAGCGUGGGGAGCAAACAGGAUUAGAUACCCUAGUAGUC